AUUGAACGCUGGCGGCAUGCCUUACACAUGCAAGUCGAACGGCAGCACGGGAGCAAUCCUGGUGGCGAGUGGCGAACGGGUGAGUAAUAUAUCGGAACGUGCCCAGUCGUGGGGGAUAACGCAGCGAAAGCUGUGCUAAUACCGCAUACGAUCUAAGGAUGAAAGCGGGGGAUCGCAAGACCUCGCGCGAUUGGAGCGGCCGAUAUCAGAUUAGCUAGUUGGUGGGGUAAAGGCCCACCAAGGCGACGAUCUGUAGCUGGUCUGAGAGGACGACCAGCCACACUGGAACUGAGACACGGUCCAGACUCCUAUGGGAGGCAGCAGUGGGGAAUUUUGGACAAUGGGCGCAAGCCUGAUCCAGCAAUGCCGCGUGCAGGAUGAAGGCCUUCGGGUUGUAAACUGCUUUUGUACGGAACGAAACGGCCCUUUCUAAUACAAGGGGCUAAUGACGGUACCGUAAGAAUAAGCACCGGCUAACUACGUGCCAGCCGCCGCGGUAAAAC
rnacentral:rRNA from 1 species